rnacentral:misc_RNA from 1 species
GAUGAAGAACGUAGCGAAAUGCGAUAAGUAAUGUGAAUUGCAGAAUUCAGUGAAUCAUCGAAUCUUUGAACGCACAUUGCGCCCGCCAGUAUUCUGGCGGGCAUGCCUGUUCGAGCGUCAUUUCAACCAUCAAGCCCCAGGCUUGUGUUGGGGACCUGCGGCUGCCGCGGGCCCUGAAAACCAGUGGCGGGCUCGCUAGUCACACCGAGCGUAGUAGCAUACACAUCGCUCAGGGCGUGCUGCGGGUUCCGGCCGUUAAACCCCUUUUUUACCCAAGGUUGACCUCGGAUCAGGUAGGAAGACCCGCUGAACUUAAGCAUAUCAAUAAGCGGAGGA